rfam:Salmo salar isolate Sally breed double haploid chromosome ssa06, whole genome shotgun sequence.
UCCACUCACUACUGUAAGUCGCUCUGGAUAAGAGCAUUUGCUAAAUUACUCAAA